UGAGGUAGUAUGUAAUAUUGUAGA
rnacentral:miRNA from 1 species